rnacentral:rRNA from 1 species
AACGAACGCUGGCGGCAUGCCUAACACAUGCAAGUCGAACGAGACCUUCGGGUCUAGUGGCGCACGGGUGCGUAACGCGUGGGAACCUGCCCUUAGGUUCGGAAUAACUCCCCGAAAGGGGUGCUAAUACCGGAUAAUGUCUUCGGACCAAAGAUUUAUCGCCUUUGGAUGGGCCCGCGUUGGAUUAGCUAGUUGGUAGGGUAAAAGCCUACCAAGGCGACGAUCCAUAGCUGGUCUGAGAGGAUGAUCAGCCACACUGGGACUGAGACACGGCCCAGACUCCUACGGGAGGCAGCAGUGGGGAAGAUUGGACAAUGGGCGAAAGCCUGAUCCAGCAAGGCCGCGUGAGUGAUGAAGGCCUUAGGGUUGUAAAGCUCUUUUACCCGGGAUGAUAAGGACAGUACCGGGAGAAUAAGCUCCGGCUAACUCCGU